rnacentral:rRNA from 1 species
GGUCAAGUUAUUAAGGGUGCAGGGCGGAUGCCUUGGCACUAGGAGCCGAUGAAGGACGUGAUAAGCUGCGAUAAGCUUCGGGGAGUUGCACGUAAACUUUGAUCCGAAGAUUUCCGAAUGAGGAAACUCACUUAGAGUAAUGUCUAAGUAUCAUUAAGUGAAUACAUAGCUUAAUGAGGGGAACUCAGGGAACUGAAACAUCUAAGUACCUGAAGGAAGAGAAAGAAAUUCGAUUCCGUAAGUAGCGGCGAGCGAACGCGGAUUAGCCCAAACCAAUAAAGUUUUCUUUAUUGGGGUUGCGGACAUAUCAUAACGAAGAGGUAUCGUAAUUGAAGAGGUUUGGAAAGACCCACCACAGAAGGUAAUAGUCCUGUAUGUUAAACGAGAAGACUUUAGAUAUGAUCCAGAGUACCACGGGACACGUGA